rnacentral:misc_RNA from 1 species
GAUGAAGAACGUAGCGAAACGCGAUAUGUAAUGUGAAUUGCAGAAUUCAGUGAAUCAUCGAAUCUUUGAACGCACAUGGCGCCUUCCAGUAUCCUGGGAGGCAUGCCUGUCCGAGCGUCGUUUCAACCCUCGAGCCCCCGUGGCCCGGCGUUGGGGAUCUGCCACGGCAGGCCCCUAAAACCAGUGGCGGACCCGAAGGCCCUCUCCUUUGCGCAGUAGCAUCAGCCUCGCAUUGGGAUCCCUCGGCGUCCUGCCUCUAAACCCCCACAAGUCCGCUCCGGCGGCACCAAGGUUGACCUCGGAUCAGGUAGGAAUACCCGCUGAACUUAAGCAUAUCAAUAAGCGGAGGA